GACGAACGCUGGCGGCGUGGAUUAGGCAUGCAAGUCGAACGGUAGGAUACCUUCGGGUAUCUGAGAGUGGCGAACGGGUGAGUAACACGUAGGUGAUCUACCCUCAAGAUUGGGACAACCCAGGGAAACUUGGGCUAAUACCGGAUGAAAGCAGCAGUGAUGUUGUUUGAAAGGUGGCGUAAGCUGCCGUUUGGGGAUGAGCCUGCGCUCUAUUAGUUAGUUGGCGGGGUAAAGGCCCACCAAGGCGAUGAUAGAUAGGCGGCCUUAACGGGUGGUCGCCCACACUGGGAUUGAGAUGCGGCCCAGACUCCUACGGGAGGCAGCAGUCGAGAAUAGUCUACAAUGGCCGAAAGGCUGAUAGUGCGACGCCGCGUGAACGAAGAAGCCCUUCGGGUGUAAAGUCUUUUAUAUGUGAGCAGUGCUUUCUAUGUGAACAGCAUGGGGAGAGAGAUAUUAGCAUAUGAAUAAAGCAACGGCUAACUUCGUGCC
rnacentral:rRNA from 1 species